AUGAACGCUAGCUACAGGCUUAACACAUGCAAGUCGAGGGGCAGCAUGGUCUUAGCUUGCUAAGGCCGAUGGCGACCGGCGCACGGGUGAGUAACACGUAUCCAACCUGCCGUCUACUCUUGGACAGCCUUCUGAAAGGAAGAUUAAUACAAGAUGGCAUCAUGAGUCCGCAUGUUCACAUGAUUAAAGGUAUUCCGGUAGACGAUGGGGAUGCGUUCCAUUAGAUAGUAGGCGGGGUAACGGCCCACCUAGUCUUCGAUGGAUAGGGGUUCUGAGAGGAAGGUCCCCCACAUUGGAACUGAGACACGGUCCAAACUCCUACGGGAGGCAGCAGUGAGGAAUAUUGGUCAAUGGGCGAGAGCCUGAACCAGCCAAGUAGCGUGAAGGAUGACUGCCCUAUGGGUUGUAAACUUCUUUUAUAAAGGAAUAAAGUCGGGUAUGCAUACCCGUUUGCAUGUACUUUAUGAAUAAGGAUCGGCUAACUCCGUGCCAGCAGCCGCGGUAAUACGGAGGAUCCGAGCGUUAUCCGGAUUUAUUGGGUUUAAAGGGAGCGUAGAUGGAUGUUUAAGUCAGUUGUGAAAGUUUGCGGCUCAACCGUAAAAGUGCAGUUGAUACUGGAUAUCUUGAGUGCAGUUGAGGCAGGCGGAAUUCGUGGUGUAGCGGUGAAAUGCUUAGAUAUCACGAAGAACUCCGAUUGCGAAGGCAGCCUGCUAAGCUGCAACUGACAUUGAGGCUCGAAAGUGUGGGUAUCAAACAGGAUUAGAUACCCUGGUAGUCCACACGGUAAACGAUGAAUACUCGCUGUUUGCGAUAUACGGCAAGCGGCCAAGCGAAAGCGUUAAGUAUUCCACCUGGGGAGUACGCCGGCAACGGUGAAACUCAAAGGAAUUGACGGGGGCCCGCACAAGCGGAGGAACAUGUGGUUUAAUUCGAUGAUACGCGAGGAACCUUACCCGGGCUUAAAUUGCAGAUGAAUUACGGUGAAAGCCGUAAGCCGCAAGGCAUCUGUGAAGGUGCUGCAUGGUUGUCGUCAGCUCGUGCCGUGAGGUGUCGGCUUAAGUGCCAUAACGAGCGCAACCCUUGUUGUCAGUUACUAACAGGUCAUGCUGAGGACUCUGACAAGACUGCCAUCGUAAGAUGUGAGGAAGGUGGGGAUGACGUCAAAUCAGCACGGCCCUUACGUCCGGGGCUACACACGUGUUACAAUGGGGGGUACAGAGGGCCGCUACCACGCGAGUGGAUGCCAAUCCCAAAAACCUCUCUCAGUUCGGACUGGAGUCUGCAACCCGACUCCACGAAGCUGGAUUCGCUAGUAAUCGCGCAUCAGCCACGGCGCGGUGAAUACGUUCCCGGGCCUUGUACACACCGCCCGUCAAGCCAUGGGAGCCGGGGGUACCUGAAGUGCGUAACCGCGAGGAGCGCCCUAGGGUAAAACUGGUGACUGGGGCU
rnacentral:rRNA from 1 species